rnacentral:tmRNA from 1 species
UCGGCAUCUGCCGCGGCGUCGUACUUCUUUACGUNNNNNNNNNNUCGGACCCGGGGGCGGUACCCGGCGCCUCCACCAAAAACCGCUCUUGUUGAAGAGCGGCUUUUGCUGGGGGCGAAAUAGGAUCGACGAAGGUGUAAAGAUCGUACUUUUGCCCGGCAUUGUACCACCGUUAUCGGGCUAAACUUAUAGUUGCCAACGACAACUAUGCGGAAGCACGUCUCGCCGCGUAAGCGGUGCGAUAGCUUCAAUUCAAGCCCUAGUGGUUCG